UACAGGGGGGGCAAGCGUUGUUCGGAAUUACUGGGCGUAAAGGGCUCGUAGGUGGCCAACUAAGUCAGACGUGAAAUCCCUCAGCUUAACUGGGGAACUGCGUCUGAUACUGGAUGGCUUGAGUUCGGGAGAGGGAUGCGGAAUUCCAGGUGAAGCGGUGAAAUGCGUAGAUAUCUGGAGGAACACCGGUGGCGAAGGCGGCAUCCUGGACCGACACUGACGCUGAGGAGCGAAAGCCUGGGGAGCAAACGGG
rnacentral:rRNA from 1 species